rnacentral:rRNA from 1 species
CAGCAGCCGCCACGGGAAUACGUAGGGUGCGAGCGUUAAUCGGAAUUACUGGGCGUAAAGCGUGCGCAGGCGGUUGUGUAAGACAGGUGUGAAAUCCCCGGGCUUAACCUGGGAACUGCGCUUGUGACUGCACAGCUAGAGUAUGGUAGAGGGGGGUGGAAUUCCACGUGUAGCAGUGAAAUGCGUAGAGAUGUGGAGGAACACCGAUGGCGAAGGCAGCCCCCUGGGCCAAUACUGACGCUCAUGCACGAAAGCGUGGGGAGCAAACAGGAUUAGAUACCCGGGUAGUCCCUGUCUCUUAUAC